AGCGAACGCUGGCGGCAGGCCUAACACAUGCAAGUCGAACGGGCUCUUUGGAGCUAGUGGCGGACGGGUGAGUAACACGUGGGAACGUGCCUUUAGGUUCGGAAUAAGCCAGGGAAACUGGGUCUAAUACCGGAUGUGCCCUUCGGGGGAAGGAUUUAUCGCCUUUAGAGCGGCCCGCGUCUGAUUAGCCAGUUGGUGGUGUAAUGGACCACCAAGGCGACGAUCAGUAGCUGGUCUGAGAGGAUGAUCAGCCACAUUGGGACUGAGACACGGCCCAAACUCCUACGGGAGGCAGCAGUGGGGAGUCUUUCGCAAUGGGCGAAAGCUUGACGCAGCCAUGCCGCGUGAAUGAUGAAGGUCUUAGGAUUGUAAAAUUCUUUCACCGGGGACGAUAAUGACGGUACCCGGAGAAGAAGCCCCGGCUAACUUCGUGCCAGCCGCCGCGGUAA
rnacentral:rRNA from 1 species